GCAGUUGCAUGCAUCGGUAUUUGUGAACCAAUGAAAAUCGGCUGAUGGCUGCAAUGAGAACUUUCAAAACAAAGAAAAAAAAAUCGGACCAGCAGCAGCAGCAGCCGCAGCAGUAAACGUACUUAUAAGAGUCGGAAACGGUUUCCAUCCGGAGGCAUUGGCGGUCGUCCUCAUCGGUGCCCUACAGCUGCAAAUUUCUAUGUCGCUAGAACCAGACGACAACAUCCGGAUGGUUCGGCAACGAGGCAUGAGGCGCAUCGUCCCCCCACGGCGCUGUUUCCUUAUGCACGGUAGCGCUUCCAACGCUAGGACAAUCAAGUGUGGAUUGACCUUCCCUUGAUUCGAUCUCCAAACCAGCGGCUGAAGCUUUUCGGGCAUUUCGUCGCUUCGUGAUUGCUGACAACAAUGAAGCUGGAGCAGAAAACAACCUUUUUACAUGGCAUAUAGUAUGAAUGCAUAUUAGGGUGUAAUUAAUAAAUGAAAUUGUUUCAUUAAUUCUUA